ncrna:unclassified sequences RAGATH-18 RNA
CCUUAUGAGUGUUAUAUAAGCCAGAGUAGCAUAUGCAAAAUGGGACACGAUGAAUAAGGAA